UGUCCUACGAUUCCUCGCACGCCUCCAACCCCAGACUCCACCGUGAUCGGCUCCACCUCAGCACGUAACACACCGUAAGGACAGCAAACACCUACUGAGACGACGGCGGACAUCUGCCGCUGAACAAAGCUGAUUUGGUUCCAUCCACUCUGCCAAGCCUCUGCAUCCAGAGCGAAGUGAGGGCUGGCACACAUCCACACAGGCGCAGAACCGAUAUGAAAACGUAGACAUGCAGAGUAGGCAAGGGCGUCCGCCGCGACCGUGACGUGUUUCCGCCUCGUUGUCUCGUCCCCUCUCUCUUCCCUUGUACUAUUCCUCCCCUCUCUCCCUCUCUCCCUCUCUACCUCUCGAGAGGGUGGGCGGAGGUAAGUGAGGGACCGUGCUUGAGCUGUCCAGUGCGCUGCUCUGUCCUUGCGCCUCUGCUCAGGAGAGUGAGCAUACUUGCUUCUUUAUUCUUUUUAUCAUCGGGGAUGGAGUCGACUGUUCUCGAGGCCGACUCGCCGCCCAGUUGGGGGGCUGCCGUCCCACUGGCGGUGCAGCGUGCCGCAAGGGAAAACAUGCUGCCAGAGACCAUAAAAGCAACGAUGAAGCCCCCGCGCAGUGCCUUUCCAUCUGGUGCUGCUUCACCGAAGUCACUCAUACACCGCGCCUCACGUGCCGCGUUGCACGCACCAGCGGGUCGUUUCUCUGCCGUUGUAAUUCCACCCACGGCGCAAGGGACCUCGGGGACACGAAAACAGUUCCCCACCGCUGAUCCUGCCGCCGCCACCGCCGAGCCGGGGCUGCCGGCGUUCACGAUGGAGAUUCCACAGGACGCGUCACGCCUCCUGCUGCACCCACUGGACGCCCAGCGGCAGCAAACGCUCGCCUUCGCCUUGAGCUACAAGGAGUGGGCACAAGAGGUGUGUGAUAGGCAGGGCAGACUGGAGAUGCUGGGGCACCAACAAAAGCGCCGGGCAGCGUGGGCGCAGGCGAGCGCGGCUGCGGUGAGUGACAUGCUAGCGGUGUGGGAGUCUGUGGGCCUCGCGGUGCGUGACCGACUCACCUCUCUGCAGCCUGAGGGGUACCAGACCUUCGCGUUUCCUGACGGCACGGCCCUCUACGAGGGCCACUGGAAGAACUGCCAUCCGCACGGGAAAGGUUGCUUGCGGCGCUCGCAGCCCAUGAACGAUUUGUACGAGGGGCAGUGGUUCGCCGGCCAACGCUGCGGCACCGGCACAUACCACAGUGCCGACUACCACCUCCUCUACCAAGGCUCUUGGCUCGAUGACAAGCUGCACGGCAAAGGUGAGCUGGUUGAGCCGGAGGGCGUGUACACGGGCGAGUUUGUCGAGAACACCCUUCACGGCUACGGAGAGUACGUGUACAACGACGGGCACGUGUACAAGGGGGACUGGGUGAGCGGCUUGUACGAAGGCAACGGCACCUACCUCUACCCGAGCGGCGCCAAGUACGAGGGUGGCUGGCUGCGGGGGCGCGAGCAUGGGCGAGGCACGAAGUGGUUCAGCAACGGUGACGUGUACAUCGGAGAAUGGAUGCAUGGUAUGCCGCACGGCCAUGGCAGCUUCAACAGCACCUGCAGCACUGCGGCUCGCGUGACGGGGCAGUGGCGGUACGGCUCUCUGUAUGGCGUGGCGACCUGCGUCUUCGCCGACGGCAGCCACUACGUUGGCGAGUGGCAGAGAGGUCGCUUUCAUGGACGUGGUACGUACGAAGUGCCGUGCGCGAACGGCGAGUUGCAGCGGUACACUGGAGCCUACGCGAACGGAAAGCGUCACGGCUACGGCGAGUACACAUCUUCCACUGUAUCAUACACUGGGGAAUGGGUGCACGACAAGAAGGAUGGCGAGGGCUCGCUGCAGGUGCGCGGUGGCGGGACGUACUACGGACGAUGGAAGGCUGAUUUGCCGGAGGGCGAAGGGGUGUACGUGUCAACGUACCGCAAGGGCUACCAUGACGAGAUACAUUGCGAGGCGAGGGAUGGCACCUUCACCGUGUGCGCUGACCAAAGCAUACAGCAGCGCGUUGACAUGCGCUUGCUCGGUCGAUGAUGCUCGUCUACAUCCUCUCACUGUCUCCGUUGUCCUCUUGUUCUCGCCGCUCCACCGCCCGAUACUUCCGCUGCGGCCACUCUCUCUCUCUUGCUGCUGUUCCCUCCCCAUUUUUUUUUUGCCUGUUUGGUUGUCGCGGAAUCGCCGCUGUAAGAAUUCUUUGUUGUGCCCUUUCGAUGGACAUCAUACGCGAUGUACAGCUCUCUCUUGUCGUUUUGUGCGAACACCCUUUUCUCUCUUCGUCCCCCAGGAGCGCGGAAUGCUUGCUGGGGUGGGCGGUGCCCGUGGAGAUGCGGAUGAGAGGCGCGUGGGCCUUUCGUGUGUGAGGCUCGCCUCUUUGUCGGUACCGCGUGCCUCCUUCCGCUGCUCGUGCCGCUCAAAGCGUUUGCCGUGCUCGGCGCUCUCCUCCUCCCGUGGCGGUGACACGCGCCGCAUUUGUGCAUC
rnacentral:misc_RNA from 1 species